GGAGGUGUAGCUAAGUAGUAGAGCAAUUGCCUUGUGUGUGGAAGGUUCUGGGUUUGAUCCCCAGCACCAUAA
rnacentral:tRNA from 1 species